rnacentral:rRNA from 1 species
UACGGAGGAUCCAAGCGUUAUCCGGAUUUAUUGGGUUUAAAGGGUGCGUAGGCGGAAUAGUAAGUCAGUGGUGAAAACCUGCAGCUUAACUGCAGAACUGCCAUUGAUACUGCUAAUCUUGAGUACAUUUGAUGUGGGCGGAAUGUGUCAUGUAGCGGUGAAAUGCAUAGAUAUGACACAGAACACCGAUUGCGAAGGCAGCUCACAAAACUGUAACUGACGCUGAGGCACGAAAGCGUGGGGAUCGAACAGG